rnacentral:tRNA from 1 species
GCAUUGGUGGUUCAGUGAUAGAAUUCUCACCUUCCAUGUGGGAGACUGGGGUUUGAUUCCUGGCCAGUGCA